CAUUCCAGAGGCGCAGGGGCACUACAGAAGCUGGUGGGAGACAUUUAUCCUGUGAGACUAUCUGAUACAAACACUGCCUCCUGAGAGCAUGUCCAGCUAUUCCUCCCAGGUUGGGAAAAAGAAUGAAGGAUUUCUGCAUGUGUGAUGUGGAUGAUGAGACACGACUAGCCAGCAUCUUCUAGAAGCCGAUGAUCUCUGUUUAGACAAAAAGUUGGAUAAGUAUCAAGUCAAAGAAACAAAGAGCGACUAAGAAAGAAUAUUGAAAUC
rnacentral:lncRNA from 1 species